rnacentral:rRNA from 1 species
AUUGAACGCUGGCGGCAUGCCUUACACAUGCAAGUCGAACGGCAGCGCGGGAGCAAUCCUGGCGGCGAGUGGCGAACGGGUGAGUAAUAUAUCGGAACGUGCCCAGUAGUGGGGGAUAGCCCGGCGAAAGCCGGAUUAAUACCGCAUGAGACCUGAGGGUGAAAGCGGGGGAUCGCAAGACCUCGCGCUAUUGGAGCGGCCGAUAUCAGAUUAGCUAGUUGGUGGGGUAAAGGCCUACCAAGGCAACGAUCUGUAGUUGGUCUGAGAGGACGACCAGCCACACUGGGACUGAGACACGGCCCAGACUCCUACGGGAGGCAGCAGUGGGGAAUUUUGGACAAUGGGCGCAAGCCUGAUCCAGCAAUGCCGCGUGCAGGAAGAAGGCCUCGGUUGUAAACUGCUUUGUCAGGAAGAAAUACUUCUGGGCUAAUACCCCGGGACGGGAUGACGGUACCUGAAGAAUAAGCACCGGCUAACUACGUGCCAGCAGCCG